ACAUCUGAAACUUCACAUGAUCUAGCCUCUGCCCUUCCCUCUGGGCCAGCUCUCAGCAGAGCCCCUCUCUCUAUCUUCGGCUCUACCCUCACAGACUUCCGUGGAUUAUGCUAGUAAAGGUGACAGGGUAGCUAAGCUCCCUCCCGCCCUCAGCACCCCUCUGUCAUCAAACCCCUUUUCCAGCUGCCCCUCCUCAUGGGAGACCGGAGCACCUCCUCUUCCUCAGGAGAUGCUGGGUAGAUUUGCUUCAGAAGCUUCCAGUCUUAUGAAAUUGCCUGUGGCAUCAGCUCUCUGGGCAAGCAUAUAAUACGUGCAGCCAAUGAGAUGGGAAUAUAUUAGAUUUUCCCGCCCCUCUGUGGUCAUGUGACACAGCUCCAGCCAGUGGUUGGGCUGGAGCCUGCUGGACUCCUAAUAGAUCAAAUACUGCCCUUCCGGACCUGGGAAAAUUGCUUGGUGAAGAAGCAGCAACACGGUGACCUCUGAAGUGUUCACAUGGGCCUAGGACACCAAGGGGGACCAGGAGGUUGCCCCAGUGGCAUAGUGGAGCUGCUGGACCUUCACCAUAGGCCACCACCAGAUGCCCCAUUAGAGGAAGCUGGAGAAACCACCCCAUAAUGGCCUCUCCAAGGGCAAGGGCACAUUAGCCCCAGACUCUAAUGGACCAAGCAGCCCUGCACCACCAGACCCAACAUCACGCCAUGAACCCGGAGGGCUGCUGAGCCAGCACCGCUCCACCUGAGCUGGUGCAGUGGCUGAAGUCGGUGAACCCACAGUUACAGCAAGUAGAAGUAUCCUGCUCAGAAGCCCCAUUAUAAGCCCACAGCAUCUCCCUAAUUCCAUGGGCUCUUGUGCCCUCUCUGAGCCAAGGACUUUGGCUAGAAAAUUGCACAGAUUGGUUUCCAUACUGGUCACAGGGCCCUUAUGGGUGCAGCCUCUGGGGUAAUUUAAACAAUAAAAAAAAUAUAUGUU